AAAUUAAAUAUUAGAUUUAUAAAUUCAUUCAUUUCAGUUCAUUACUUUUUAGAAAUGUAAGAGAGCGUUGGAGGGGCUGAUCGCUGUUGGCUGGGCCUCACAGAGUUGGCGAGGUCACCCUAAACCAUAAAAAAAUUCUUUGCAGAUAAUGGAACAAAAAUUUGCAUGUAAGUAGCGAAAUUAAAGGUAAUUUGUAUCCUAUGCUUAUCUAUAAUAUCUUAAAUCCCUUAUUAUUUUUGUCUUUGAUUUUAUUUUGCCACGGCGGAGUACCUGUGGAGAUUCAGGGACUACAGAACUCUACGCAGCCACUUCCUACAGUCAUACACCAGGUUUGAAAGGUUUUGAAUAGAAGGUGUUCAUAUUUGGAUCACCUGGAGCCCAUAUCGGUUGUUGUAGUGGGGAAUAUAAUCAGCCUCUUCGGAUACACCAGCUCUGCAAGAAGACUACGCAAAGCAUUUUUUAGGUGACUGUGGCUGUGCAUGUGGUAUGUACCCGCCAUGUCUCUCUUGAUGCGCAACACAGAAGUAAAGUGUCUACUAAAAGCUAGUGCAAGUCUUGUGCGGGGAAGGAAAAUUAUUAGGGAUUAGCAUGUGAGGGAGUAGGCUAGUUAAUCUAAGAUCUCUUCGAGCCUGAACAUCCACACGCGUUUAGCCAGAAAACGCCUAUGAUUCUUACAAUGAAUGAUAAAGUGAUCUUUUAAGUUUUAUUUAAGUUUGCCUAUUCUUUAUAUGCACUGACUAUUAUACAAAGGCGAUAUAUAUUUUUAUAGUAAAAAAUCGAAUAAGAAUAAAUAAUAGUCUCUACAGCCAAGAGAUUCAGUUCAUUAAUUAUUGUAAGAAAUUACAGACUUAUUCUGGCUAAGCGCAUGCAGGUGUUAAGAUGAACGUUAUAACAGCUACAAUUUAACAACAAAAUCAUAAUCUGCCUAGCUUUGUUAUGCUAUCUAAAGUCCCUGUACAGAAUUUCAGAUCUCUAGGUUAAAUAGCAUUUCAAUUACAAGGUCUUAAAAAUAUUCUUAUACGUCUUUUCAUCGGUCUUUUCAUCGGCUUUUUUAGGAUGUUCCUCUUAUAAUGUUUAUCUAAACACUCACACUAACAACUGUCUUAUACUUAACGAUUGUUAUAAUGUACUUCGUAUUAUAUAUGGCGUGAUAUUAAUUAACUGAUUUUAUUGCUCUUGCGCUUAUUUAUUAUAAUUGUAUUUUUUAUCUUUAUUUAAAUUUGUUUUACUUGAUAUUAAUAAAAAAUAAUUUUAUUAAAGUGAA